rnacentral:lncRNA from 1 species
ACCUCCACUCUAUCUCUAUCAAUCUAGUAGAAACUAGAAGAUCUAUUUCUACUUUACAUUGGUUGCUAAGCAUAAAAAGACAUAUUAAUUAGAGAAGAGGUUUUCCUUCGAGGGCACCCCUCAAUCUCUAUGAUAACUUCUUGUCUCCUCCAGGUGCCAGGGAGGUCUCCUUAUAUAGUCCUCCUCUAUGCAUUUUUGGGUCGGUAGGCGAGGUGGUACUACGUUAUCCUGGAUCCUUUAGGUCGGUGGAACAUCGUGUGCGAAGAGAGUCCCGAACGGAGUACAGGAGGGGGCGGGCGCCCAGGUCCUCAAGGCGGGCGCCCUGGGCCUGGCCCCUUUCGGCCUCUGCUUUCUUCCCUUGGCUUCUGGAGUCUUCUAGAUGGUAGAAAAUUGCGCGAUGCGUUGAUAUCUCUAUGUAAUCCCGACAUGUGGACCUUUCUUCCUUAUUUCCUGAUAACCCCCUGCAGAAACAGAUAAACAACAAAACUCGUGGAAUUCUGUCAGAUCAAACCCUAAUUCUAGGUGUUUGUUGCAUAUUGGUCCUUUCUCUUGUUUAUUUGAUAAUUAAAAUUGAUACUUAAGAACCAUCAACAAAUACCCCCAUACUUAGCUUUUACUCGUCCUCGAGAAAAGGAUGGUUAAGAACAAUAUUUGAGGUAAAACAUUUUAAAAUUCUUUUCAUAACUGCAGGGUGUUAAAAUUCCACUGUGUACUAUAGUCAGAGAAGUAUAUGGUUAAGAGUAAAGAUCCUUUCUUCUCAAUCUUGUCACUUGGAAUUUUGUAUAUUUUUGAAAACAAAGUUAGCAUACCUUUUUAUCCUCAUAGGUUCUCUCAAAUCACUCAUUAUCUUUUAUAUAUCUCACUGAGGCUGUUUUAAUUUGUAAAAAUUCUCAAGCAUACUUACUUUGCAUUUAUUGCCUGAUCAAAAUGGGAUCCGAGGAGGGGAAUGUUAUACUCUUAGAUCAAAGACUUUGGAAAUUAAAAACUUUGUCAACUCUUACUGGCAUAUUGCUUAUUAGAGGGACCAUGGGCUAUCAUUUUCUUUCUUUUCUUUUUUUUAAGUGGAUACCGAGGUAUCCCUAAUUCUACUGCCGGACACUUGUCCAUUUUUUCUGCAAGGUUGUCGAGCACUUGCUCCUUUUUAUUUCCUCGAAAUAUCUUUAUUUUUGCAUAGCCCAUGCCUCUAAUGCAAUAAUACUUCGGAAGAGCGAAUCUUUCUGAAUAAAUGUCUUGAUCUUAGGAGCAUGAUAAAUCUCUCAACAAGGGUCUAACUCAUUUUGAACAAACUCAAUACAGAGUAGAUAGCUUUUAUAAUCAUAAUUAAUAUUUUCAGUUUUAUCAGGCAUAUAAAACACUAAGGAUGAUAGCUAGAAUUUUGAAGAUUUAUGAAAUAAAUUCUCCAAGCAACAAUGAUAUCAAGAAUAAGAAACUCAUACUCUACCAUCUCACAUUCCAUAGUCUUAAAUAACACAAGGUUUUAAAAUGAUUUUUCAAUAAUUGCAAGUUUCAGGAAAUAUCACAGAAUGAGAUUAAUCAUAUUUAGAAACAUUGUAAUCUUUUUAAUUUAUCAUGUCAGAAACAGUAUUCUGCAUAAUCCAAGAUGUAUAUGUGUAAAGUAAAGUGUGCAGAGUGUGUACCUGAAUCGUGGAGUGGUGUAGUCGGAGUGUGUUUGGCAUGUUGAGGGAUCUCCCCAAUACUUGUUUUCUGCUUUCUUGCACAAAAAUAAAGUAGAGACACACAAGACAUAAUAAUAAUAAUACUCUUUAUUAAUCUUGAGACAUUUAUUACAAAAGACUAGUAGCAAACUGACGAUAGUAGCAAACUGAUGAUAAUAGUAACAAACUGACAAUAAUAGUAAACCGAAACCAAAAUUAAAAAUAGAUGACUAAGAUGCAUUGCCUCAAGGUCUAAUCUAGAUAACUUAGUGGCGCUCUAAUUCCUUAAUCUUCUUGUUGGCACUGGCAAGAUACUGCCUAAGGCCUAGUAUAAUUGUGUUGUGGUUAGAGAGCUGCCUAGUGAGGGAAUUAAUCGAGGACUCGAGGUCUAUGAUAACUUUGUCUAGCCUGCGAACGUCCUCAUCAAUGUCUACUAUAGUCUUGCGACCUUUGGGAGGUGUCUCAAAAGCAUUGAGAGCGUGCUUCGGGGCUGCC